rnacentral:rRNA from 1 species
CUACGGGGCGCUCCAGUAAGGAAUACUGCGCAAUGGAGGCAACUCUGACGCAGCCAUGCCGCGUGCAGGAAGAAGGCCUUAUGGGUCGUAAACUGCUUUUAUUUAGGAAUAAACCCUCGCUCGUGAGCGAGGCUGAAGGUACUGAAUGAAUAAGCACCGGCUAACUCCGUGCCAGCAGCCGCGGUAAUACGGAGGGUGCAAGCGUUAUCCGGAUUUAUUGGGUUUAAAGGGUGCGCAGGCGGGCUAUUAAGUCAGUGGUGAAAUCCCGGGGCUCAACUCCGGAACUGCCAUUGAUACUGAUAGUCUUGAGUUUGGUUGAGGUGGGCGGAAUGUAGCAUGUAGCGGUGAAAUGCAUAGAUAUGCUACAGAACACCAAUCGCGAAGGCAGCUCACUAAGCCAAAACUGACGCUCAUGCACGAAAGCGUGGGGAUCAAACAGGAUUAGAUACCCCCGUAGUC